GUGUCAGCAGCCGCGGUAAUACGGGGGGGGCAAGCGUUGUUCGGAAUUACUGGGCGUAAAGGGCGCGUAGGCGGUUUGCUAAGUUGGAUGUGAAAACUCUGGGCUUAACCCAGAGCCUGCAUCCAAAACUGGCAAACUUGAGUACUGGAGGGGAAAGCGGAAUUCCUGGUGUAGCGGUGAAAUGCGUAGAUAUCAGGAGGAACACCGGUGGCGAAGGCGGCUUUCUGGACAGUAACUGACGCUGAGGCGCGAAAGCUAGGGGAGCAAACAGGAUUAGAAACCCCCGUAGUCC
rnacentral:rRNA from 1 species